AACACACAGAGAAACAAAGAGGGAGUGAUCCAAGCUCCAAAUACUUGUCUGGGAUGUACACGCUGAAUUUGAUGUUAAUUAUCUUGAUUGGGGACGGGGGACUGGAAGAAUGGUGAAAGGAAAAAGGAAACUUUUACACAAAAGGAUCUGAGUAUUUACCUUAGAACGAGCUUUCUUAUGUGGACUCAUCCAUCUCUCCCAGCCAUGGAAUAUUUACUAAGCUUUACAGGUUGGCCUUGCCUAUCUACUUGCAAACCCUCCCGACGCCAGGCUACAGAGAAAAAGCAUAACGGAGUUAAAACUACAGAUCACAGAUCAAGGUCAAAAGCCCUGCCGAUUCUUCAUUCUCCAAGUGUGACCACCUGAGAAACUCCUACCUGUCUUCUGGAUGCAGAACAGGCCUGUCCCCUCUGCAAAACUUCCUCUGACAACCAGGCUGGUUUCAGUCUUUUCUCUCUGCUGUCCCCGCUCCCCCCAGGCCUUACCACACUGUGUUACGUGUGCCACUGUCUCCAGGUGCAAGUUCCCUAGAGGUCUUGAAAUACCUCAUUCCAAGCUCAUCUUAACUUGGGGGUUUGUCGUGAAAAGUCUGCUGUGAUUCUAAUGGGCUUUCCUUGAUAGGUAUCAUUGUCCCUGGCAUUUGACAGCUCAUCUCAACUUGGAGCUCCAUUCCUCCCCAGCUGGGGAGGUUUCCUUCCAGUCGGCUGAAUCCAAACCCUGAGAGCACGGCUGAAGUCACAGAGCCAGAGCUGAUCCCUCUGUAAACCAUGAGGACAUUUGCUGUGGGUUAAAGUUCACAAGAAGAGUGUUUUUUCUCACAUGUAGAGUAUUUGCAACAAUUCAGAGUCUUGAAUUUGUUUUUGUUUUUAGGAAGCUCUAAAUUUGCUGUUGGAAUUCUUUGUUUCAGUAAUCCAUGGACUGGUUAUUCUAAUUAUAGCAGCAUGUUGCAAAUGAUUGUUUUUUCUUCAUUGCUGUUAACAUUAAAUCUUUCAUUUUUCCUGAAAACUAGUGUUAAAUUAGUGGCUGGAACUGGCAGUCUGAAUGAUUAUCUUGCUGUGGAUUUCUCUGUUAUGUCAGUUCUGUGUGGGAUUUUAAAAAAAUCAAUAAUUUUAAGUUGACAUGUCAAAUAUUUAUAUUUUUAAAAUAAAGGUGAUAGUUAAUGGUUUUGAAAAAUAAAAAAAAAUUAUGAAAUGAUUGAUUUUA